rnacentral:rRNA from 1 species
UACGUAGGGUCCGAGCGUUGUCCGGAAUUACUGGGCGUAAAGCGCGCGCAGGCGGCCCGCGAGGUGUCACGUGAAAGCCCCGGGCUCAACCCGGGAGGGUCGUGGCAAACCGGCGGGCUUGAGGCCGGUAGAGGUGGAUGGAACUCCUGGUGGAGUGGUGAAAUGCGUAGAGAUCAGGAAGAACACCCGUGGCGAAGGCGGCCCACUGGGCCGGUACUGACGCUGAGGCGCGAAGGCGUGGGGAGCGAACAGG